rnacentral:rRNA from 1 species
CCUACGGGAAGCUGCAGUGGGGAAUAUUGGACAAUGGGGGGAACCCUGAUCCAGCCAUGCCGCGUGUGUGAAGAAGGCCCUCGGGUUGUAAAGCACUUUCAGUGAGGAAGAACGCCUGGUGGUUAAUACCCAUCAGGAAAGACAUCACUCACAGAAGAAGCACCGGCUAACUCCGUGCCAGCAGCCGCGGUAAUACGGAGGGUGCGAGCGUUAAUCGGAAUUACUGGGCGUAAAGCGCGCGUAGGUGGCUUGAUAAGCCGGUUGUGAAAGCCCCGGGCUCAACCUGGGAACGGCAUCCGGAACUGUCAAGCUAGAGUGCAGGAGAGGAAGGUAGAAUUCCCGGUGUAGCGGUGAAAUGCGUAGAGAUCGGGAGGAAUACCAGUGGCGAAGGCGGCCUUCUGGACUGACACUGACACUGAGGUGCGAAAGCGUGGGUAGCAAACAGGAUUAGAUACCCUUGUAGUC